CCUACGGGGGGCAGCAGUGGGGAAUAUUGCACAAUGGGCGCAAGCCUGAUGCAGCCAUGCCGCGUGUGUGAAGAAGGCCUUCGGGUUGUAAAGCACUUUCAGCGGGGAGGAAGGCGUUAAGGUUAAUAACCUUGGCGAUUGACGUUACCCGCAGAAGAAGCACCGGCUAACUCCGUGCCAGCAGCCGCGGUAAUACGGAGGGUGCAAGCGUUAAUCGGAAUUACUGGGCGUAAAGCGCACGCAGGCGGCCUGUCAAGUCGGAUGUGAAAUCCCCGGGCUCAACCUGGGAACUGCAUUUGAAACUGGCAGGCUAGAGUCUUGUAGAGGGGGGUAGAAUUCCAGGUGUAGCGGUGAAAUGCGUAGAGAUCUGGAGGAAUACCGGUGGCGAAGGCGGCCCCCUGGACAAAGACUGACGCUCAGGUGCGAAAGCGUGAGGAGCAAACAGGAUUAGAUACCCUGGUAGUC
rnacentral:rRNA from 1 species